rnacentral:lncRNA from 1 species
ACUAUAUAGGGCUGGGAAUUAUACUACUACUAUACUAUAUAGGGCUGGGAGUUAUACUACUACUAUACUAUAUAGGGCUGGGAAUUAUACUAUUAUACUAUACUAUAUAGGGCUGGGAGUUAUACUACUAUACUAUAUACUGGUACUGUAUAUAUAUAUAUAUAUAUAUAUAUAUAAAGUAUCUGAACACAUACAGCGUAUUCGGAAAGUAUUCAGACACCUACACUUUUUCCACAUUUUGUGACGUUACAGCUUUAUUCUAAAAUUGACUUUUUUCCCCACCAAUCUACCCACAAUACCCCAUAAGGACAAAGUGAAAACAGGUUUUUGAAAAAUUGUAAAGACCGGAUGCGCAGUUUAGUAGGAGUGUAGCUUUCAGAUAGUUGUUUUUACCCACCAGAGAGAGUAAAUGUCAUUCUGGUAAUCUGUCCUGUUGUAUAGUUAUUGCAUGUUAAGGUUGAAUUAAAAAAUUUUUUAGCACCAAUUAGGUUUACAGAAGUGUAUGAGCUCUCUAAAAGCCUAUGUAAAUCCAAUUCCUGGCAUACAAUAAAGUGGCAUACGUUAUAAUAAAUUUAAUAAUAUUUAAUCUUAAUAUUACAAAAUAAUGUGCAGCAUAUACAUUUAACAUGAUGAACAAGAAUGACAUUUACACUCACGGGUGGCCAAUUAGAUCUAGUUGAAAGCCAUUUCCAUAAUAAGCUACGCCUCCUGAAAAUAACCUAAGGAUUACAUUAAAAAAGACCCAGCUGCUAAGUCAACCCAGCAUGAGAGUAUAAAAUACCCGACUGAUGGUUAAAUUAACCAAUGUUUUUGGUAAUGCUAACAACCAAACUUGUUGGGUUAUUCUGGCAACCUAACUGGCUGAGUCAAAAUAACCCAGCAUGUGUUCUUUCCAGUAUUUAAUCAACUCUGGGUUACCAAAGGACACAAAUUGGGUUGUUUUUAACCCAGCAUUUUUGAGAGUGUGGUUGCAUGUAUUUCCCUCUCGAUAUUCUAAUGAGAAUACCAGUAUGUCUUACAGUGUUCUGCCUUCAAAGAAGAGAUGAGGGGUGUGUGUUUAUGUGUGUAUUUAUGUGAGAGAGAGAGAGAGAGAGAGUGAGAGAGAGAAAAAUAGAGAUUCCCUCUCUGUAUUCUUUGACUAUAGUAAUUGCCUAGGUCUGCAGGCUAGUGAGAGAAGAGACUGUCCUGUAGGGGAGGAGAGAGGAAGAGGAGGAUGAGAGGAGAGAAGAAGAUGGUAUCUCCAGGAAAAUCAUUAAGGCAGCAUGUUUUGGCUUGUAGCCAAUGUGAGGCAGAUGCAGAUAGAACCUAGUAGUCGAUGAACCAGGCAGAGAAAGGUAGAACCUAGUAGUCGAUGGACCAGGGAGAGACAGGUAGAACCUCGAAGUCGAUGAACCAGGGAGAGACAGGUAGAACAACGUAGUCGAUGAACCAGGGAGAGAAAGGUAGAACCUCGUAGUCGAUGAACCAGGGAGAGAAAGGUAGAACCUUGUAGUUGAUGAACCAGGGAGAAAAAGGUAGAACCUCGUAGUCGAUGAACCAGGAAGAGAAAGGUAGAACCUCGUAGUUGAUGAACCAGGGAGAAAAAGGUAGAACCUCGUAGUCGAUGAACCAGGAAGAGAAAGGUAGAACCUCGUAGUCGAUGAACCAGGAAGAGAAAGGUAGAACCUCGUAGUUGAUGAACCAGGGAGAAAAAGGUAGAACCCAGUAGUAUAUGGACCAGGGAGAAACAUGUAGAACCCAGUAGUACAUGAACCAGGGAGAGAAAGGUAGAACCUCGUAGUCAAUGAACCAGGGAGAGAAAGGUAGAACCUCAUAGUAUAUGGACCAGGGAGAAACAUGUAGAACCCAGUAGUAUAUGAACCAGGGAGAGAAAGGUAGAACCUCGUAGUCGAUGAACCAGGGAGAGAAAGGUAGAACCUCGUAGUCGAUGAACCAGGGAGAGACAGGUAGAACAACGUAGUCAAUGAACCAGGGAGAGAAAGGUAGAACCUCGUAGUCGAUGAACCAGGAAGAGAAAGGUAGAACCUCGUAGUCGAUGAACCAGGGAGAGAAAGGUAGAACCUCGUAGUCGAUGAACCAGGAAGAGAAAGGUAGAACCUCGUAGUCGAUGAACCAGGAAGAGAAAGGUAGAACCUCGAAGUCGAUGAACCAGGGAGAGACAGGUAGAACAACGUAGUCAAUGAACCAGGGAGAGAAAGGUAGAACCUCGUAGUCGAUGAACCACGGGAGAGAAAGGUAGAACCUAGUAGUCGAUGAACCAGGGAGAGACAGGUAGAACCUCGAAGUCGAUGAACCAGGGAGAGAAAGGUAGAACCUUGUAGUCAAUGAACCAGAGAGAGAAAGGUAGAACCUCGUAUUCGAUGAACCAGG